ACUUGGAACCUUGCAGCUGAAGAUGACAUUGCAGGGACUUAAGAAUAUGAUUUUUUCCACUGUUGACUGCUCUCUGGUCUUUCGCACACUGCCACCUGCAGAGAAGAUAGAUGAGGGAAACACAGGUGGAGGGAUAAGGGCAGUCUCUUGUCUGGGAUGGCUUAAGACUAAUCUAGAAGAACAUGAUGUCACCACUUCAACUGAAAUCAAGAGAAGACAUCAAUCAGAAGGGCCUGUUGGCACUGUGGAGCAAUGAUGUCUAAAGACCUUGGAGGGGAUGAUUCAGCUACCCCAGGCAACUGCCUGACAUGUGGCACAGAGCAUGGAUGCCGGGGUGGGAGUACAUGUGCACCCUCAUUGCUUUUGGGUACUGUCAACUGAAGGUGGCACCAUGAUUGGAACACAGAUGGAUGAGAGCUGAUGCAUGGGCCCCCACACAUAGUUUAAGCCCAAGGAUGGGUGGUGGAUUUCUGAUAGCCUAGAGUUAUGAACUCAUCUUGUGUCUGACGUGACUGUCACCAAAAGAAGUGUGACAACACCACUUUGGCAGCCCAAUCUUUUGCAACCCCAUGAAAGAAAUACUGCAGAAGCCAGUAGAAGCAAUCCACUUGCCAGGUUGCCCUCCUGGAACCAGGGUCCACCCAUGAGAGCCAACGACAACCACAUCAGCCUUUGUGCUCCUUGGGGCAUCUGGUCAAUCUCCUGCAUGGGAUAGAAGCUCCGGGAAUACCCCAAAGGGGAGAAGCAGAGAAGAGGGCCUAUGCCCUUCCUUGUCCAGGCUUGGAGUGCCUCGCUUGGAUGAUACUGCUAGCCCCAACUGGUCCCAGACAUCAGAGAGGAAGUGUGGUCCUCCUGAGGUUUGGGGCCCAGGACAGGGGCUCUGCUUGCUCUGAUCUAAAAGCAGUACUGUUUCUAGGUUUACUACUCACUACUAACUACCUUAUUGAUUUUGUGCUUCUUGAUUUAAAAAUUCCAGAGAAAAUGGUUGUCUUAGCUAAUCAGUUUUGCUCUGAGCCAACGGUAUUCAAAGCAUGGCCUGUGGACCCCUAGUGGGUCUCCAAGACCCUCUCAGGGGUCUAUACAGUUAAAACUAUUUUUUUCAUGAUAAUAUUAAGAUGUCAUUUGCCUUUUUCACUAUGUUGACACUUGCAAUGAUGGUACAAAAGCUAUGGUGAAUAAAACUGCUGGCACCUUGGCACAAAUCAAAGCAAGGCCACCAACCAUUCUAAUAGUUGUAUUUUUUUUUUUUAUCAUCGGGCACUUUUUUUUCUUUUACUUAUUAUUAUUAUUAUACUUUAAGUUUUAGGGUACAUGUGCAUAAUGUGCAGGUUAGUUACAUAUGUAUACAUGUGCCAUGCUGGUGUGCUGCACCCAUUAACUUGUCAUUUAGCAUUAGGUAUAUCACCUAAUGCUAUCCCUCCCCUCUCCCCCCACCCCACAACAGUCCCCAGAGUGUGAUGUUCCCCUUCCUGUGUCCAUGUGUUCUCAUUGUUCAGUUCCCAUCUAUGUGUGAGAACAUGCGGUGUUUGGUUUUUUGUCCUUGUGAUAGUUUACUGAGAAUGAUGAUUUCCAGUUUCAUCCAUG
rnacentral:lncRNA from 1 species